UGAGAUCUCACAAUAAACUAAAACUGAGUCU
rnacentral:piRNA from 1 species